rnacentral:rRNA from 1 species
CUACGACCAUACCACCCUGAAUGCACCCAAUCUCGUCUGAUCUCGGAAGCUAAGCAGGGUUGGGCCUGGUUAGUACU